CCAUCCUCAGUCAGAAGCUUAUUAUCUCCCAGCUGGUCAAGCACCGGAAAACUUAAGUCAGCAGUACCAACUGCCUGCACCACAGCAGCAUCAGACUCCUCCACCACCUCCACAUCAACAAUAUCAGUCUGCCCCUCCGCCAAUAUACUCUCAGCCACCUCCACCUGCUCAACCACAACCCCCUCAUUCCUCUGUCAAUCCCUCGCAACCUCAACCUCUAGUAGGCCAUCAUCGUGAAGAGACACCUUUUGUACCAUCCCAGAAUUAUCCACCACCAAGCA
rnacentral:lncRNA from 1 species